rnacentral:rRNA from 1 species
CCGUAACUAUAACGGUCCUAAGGUAGCGAAAUUCCUUGUCGGGUAAGUUCCGACCUGCACGAAUGGCAUAAUGAUGGGGGCGCUGUCUCCAGCAGAGACUCAGUGAAAUCGAAUUCGCCGUGAAGAUGCGGUGUACCCGCGGCUAGACGGAAAGACCCCGUGAACCUUUACUGCAGCUUGACAUUGAACUUUGAUCUUACUUGUGUAGGAUAGGUGGGAGGCUUUGAAACCGAGACGCUAGUUUCGGUGGAGCCAAUCUUGAAAUACCACCCUGGUAAUAUUGAGGUUCUAACUCUGUCCCGUUAUCCGGGACGAGGACCAUGUCUGGUGGGUAGUUUGACUGGGGCGGUCUCCUCCUAAAGAGUAACGGAGGAGUACGAAGGUGCGCUCAGCGUGGUCGGAAAUCACGCGUAGAGUAUAAAGGCAAAAGCGCGCUUAACUGCGAGACCCACAAGUCGAGCAGGUACGAAAGUAGGUCUUAGUGAUCCGGUGGUUCUGUAUGGAAGGGCCAUCGCUCAACGGAUAAAAGGUACUCUGGGGAUAACAGGCUGAUACCGCCCAAGAGUUCAUAUCGACGGCGGUGUUUGGCACCUCGAUGUCGGCUCAUCUCAUCCUGGGGCUGAAGCAGGUCCCAAGGGUAUGGCUGUUCGCCAUUUAAAGAGGUACGCGAGCUGGGUUUAGAACGUCGUGAGACAGUUCGGUCCCUAUCUACCGUGGGCGUUGGAAAUUUGAGAGGAUCUGCUCCUAGUACGAGAGGACCAGAGUGGACGAACCUCUGGUGUACCGGUUGUGACGCCAGUCGCAUCGCCGGGUAGCUAUGUUCGGAAGGGAUAACCGCUGAAAGCAUCUAAGCGGGAAGCCUACCUCAAGAUAAGAUUUCCCUAGGACUUUAUGUCCUCUAAAGAGCCGUUGAAGACUACGACGUUGAUAGGUUGGAUGUGGAAGCAUAGUGAUAUGUGAAGCUGACCAAUACUAAUUGCUCGUGAGGCUUGACUAU